CCUACGGGAGGCAGCAGUGAGGAAUAUUGGUCAAUGCGCGCGAGCCUGAACCAGCCACGUCGCGUGAAGGAUGACUGCCCUACGGGUUGUAAACUUCUUUUAUAAAGGAAUAAAGUGAGGCACGUAUGCCUUUUUGUAUUUACUUUAUGAAUAAGGAUCGGCUAACUCCGUGCCAGCAGCCGCGGUAAUACGGAGGAUGCGAGCGUUAUCCGGAUUGAUUGGGGUUAAAGGGAGCGUAGAUGGGUUGUUAAGUCAGUUGUCAAAGUUUGCGGCUCAACCGUAAAAUUGCAAUUGAUACUGGAAGUCUUGAGUACAGGUGAGGAUGGCGGAAUUCGUGGUGUAGCGGUGAAAUGCUUAGAUAUCACGAAGAACUCCGAUUGCGAAGGCAGCUUACUAAACUGCCACUGACAUUGAUGCGCGAAAGUGUGGGUAGCAAACAGGAUUAGAUACCCUUGUAGUC
rnacentral:rRNA from 1 species